AGAACACAAUAUUCAUGUUCAAUUAAAAUAGUAAAACAAAGGGUAGAGAAAGAUAAUCAAGCAGCAACAGAGUUUGUUGGAAUGAACUGAGUUACCCAAAUACUGAAGAGUAGAGCAACAAUGCACCUUGUUUGCGGUAUAAUUUUAAAAGCCAUAGAACUUGAUUUGGAGGUUGCUGCCAAAAAUUGCACGAUAACUUCAUGUCUAGUUGCCUAUGCUUUUCCUUUUUGGAAGGAACAAACAAACCUUCAAAGUAGUUCUACAAACUGAACCCAGAUGACAGUGAAGGAAAAAUAGAGAUUUGUUGUAGAUUUUGAAGCUAGACUGACCAAUCUGCUCAAAGUUUUAACUGAAUCCAUUCGAUUAGCUGGUCAAUUUCUACGAAAGG
rnacentral:lncRNA from 1 species